GAUAAACGCUGGCGGCGUGCCUAAUACAUGCAAGUCGAACGCAGUGGCGAACGGGUGAGUAAUACAUAAGCAAUCUGCCCACAAAACUGGGAUAACCUCUGGAAACGGGGACUAAUACCGGAUACUAGUGGAUGAGCUUAUGGCGCAUUAGUUAGUUGGUGAGGUAACGGCCCACCAAGACGAUGAUGCGUAGCCGGCCUGAGAGGGUGAACGGCCACAUUGGGACUGAGACACGGCCCAGACUCCUACGGGAGGCAGCAGUAGGGAAUUUUCGGCAAUGGGGGGAACCCUGACCGAGCAACGCCGCGUGAGUGAAGACGGCCUUCGGGUUGUAAAGCUCUGUUGUAAGAAAAGCAUUAUCUUACCAGAAAGCCACGGCUAACUACGUGCCAGCAGCCGCGGUAAUAC
rnacentral:rRNA from 1 species